GGAUAGGGAUGAGUUGGUUUUAGUUUGAAUUCAAAUUUGAUUUGAAUUCAAAUGUGUAACCACUUGUCUUUAUCCUCUCACGCGGAUAAGACACGUUUUGAACUGUUUUAAAAGAGAUAGGAAGCUGGGGCGUGCGUAGAAAAAUUUUGAGAAAGAAAGUGGGGCGUGAGGAAGCCUUGUGCGUGAGGUGAAGGUCCAAAACCUUCCGAG
rnacentral:lncRNA from 1 species